UACGUAGGGUGCGAGCGUUGUCCGGAUUUAUUGGGCGUAAAGGGCUCGUAGGCGGCGUGUCGCGUCGGGAGUGAAAGCCCGUUGCUUAACGGCGGGUUGGCUUUCGGUACGGGCAUGCUGGAGUGCGGCAGGGGAGACUGGAAUUCCUGGUGUAGCGGUGAAAUGCGCAGAUAUCAGGAGGAACACCGGUGGCGAAGGCGGGUCUCUGGGCCGAUACUGACGCUGAGGAGCGAAAGCGUGGGGAGCGAACAGG
rnacentral:rRNA from 1 species